rfam:Triticum aestivum genome assembly, contig: Triticum_aestivum_CS42_TGACv1_scaffold_485299_6AS
GUAGUAUUCCCUCCGUCCCAAAACUCUUGUCUUACAUUUGUUUAGAUACGGAUGUAUCUAACACUAAAAUGUAACUAGAUACAUCCGUAUUUAGACAAAUUUAAGACUAUAAUUUUGGAACGGAGGGAGUACAAA